rnacentral:lncRNA from 7 species
CUUUUACGACGGAGCCUAAGAUAUUCUUUGUCUUGUCGGUGAGUGAGUUACAGUCGGAUGACCAAGUGAAAUAUAGGGGUGCAACGAGGAUUUGGAGGCUUCUGAGACUUGAACUUAGGGUACUGGUGUAAACUUCCUCGGAGAAGUGCGCAGCAGCUAAUGAUAUUUCGGGAUUGGAGUCUGGGCCCCAGUGAGAUUCGUACUAAGCGGCCUGACUGAAGGCCGCAUGCGUUCUAGUUCCUGAGUCCCCGCGUGGGUAGGUUUUUACAGCAGGGUUUGCAGCCUUUUGUGCUGUUCCGAAGGUACUAGAGUCACCGAAAGAGACAUCCUAUUAUAUGCACGUUCACAAGGACAAUGGCGCCAUUGUUCUUCGCGUCUUCAAAGCAGCUACAAGAAGAAACCAAGUGAAUGCUGACCAGUGAGAUGCCAGCCUGCGUGUGAAGAUCCUACAGCAGAAGUGCAUGGCCAGUGACACAAGAACUUGCGAGAGAUGCCAGUCCGCCUGUGAAGAUCCUGCAGCAGGAGUGCAUAGCCAGUGACACAAGACGUGCGAAUGAAAACUAGAUGUGACCAUCCAGAAAAAGCAUAGACAAAAAAAUGCAGUCUUAGUACUGGGAUGUUUGAGAUGGGGUCUAUCUACAUGUCUCUAGCUGUCCCUAUCAGGACAGCAUCUGGUGUGGCCUGCAGAGUUGAUUCCUGUACUUUUUUUUUUUUGUGGGCUGUAUGUAAAUGGAUUGUUUUGACAAUCCAUUCGACAGUGUUCUCUUCUGUGAAGGUCAUAGGUGAGCUGAUUGACAGACACAGCUGUACAGACUGAAUGCAAUCCUGACUAUAAAGCUGCAGUUCAUCAUUAUGAGCUAUUUCCUUAUUCUGGCAGUGAUUGAAAUAAAAUGGGGAGUAUUGAAAUAAAAAA